CGCGUAGGCGGAUGGUUAAGUCGGAUGUGAAAUCCCUGAGCUUAACUUAGGAAUUGCAUUCGAUACUGGAAAGCUAGAGUAUGGGAGAGGAUGGUAGAAUUCCAGGUGUAGCGGUGAAAUGCGUAGAGAUCUGGAGGAAUACCGAUGGCGAAGGCAGCCAUCUGGCCUAAUACUGACGCUGAGGUGCGAAAGCGUGGGGAGCAAACAGGAUUAGAUACCCGCGUA
rnacentral:rRNA from 1 species